UACGAAGGGGGCUAGCGUUGCUCGGAAUCACUGGGCGUAAAGGGUGCGUAGGCGGGUCUUUAAGUCAGGGGUGAAAUCCUGGAGCUCAACUCCAGAACUGCCUUUGAUACUGAGGAUCUUGAGUACGGGAGAGGUGAGUGGAACUGCGAGUGCAGAGGUGAAAUUCGUAGAUAUUCGCAAGAACACCAGUGGCGAAGGCGGCUCACUGGCCCGUAACUGACGCUGAGGCACGAAAGCGUGGGGAGCAAACAGG
rnacentral:rRNA from 1 species